AUUGAACGCUGGCGGCAGGCCUAACACAUGCAAGUCGAGCGGCAGCGGGAAAGUAGCUUGCUACUUUUGCCGGCGAGCGGCGGACGGGUGAGUAAUGCCUGGGAAAUUGCCCAGUCGAGGGGGAUAACAGAUGGAAACGACUGCUAAUACCGCAUACGCCCUACGGGGGACAGCAGGGGACCUUCGGGCCUUGGGCGAGGGGAUAUGCCCAGGUGGGAUUGGCUAGUUGGUGAGGUAAUGGCUCACCAAGGCGACGAUCCCUAGGUGGUCUGAGAGGAUGAUCAGCCACACUGGAACUGAGACACGGUCCAGACUCCUACGGGAGGCAGCAGUGGGGAAGAUUGCACAAUGGGGGAAACCCUGAUGCAGCCAUGCUGCGUGUGUGAAGAAGGCCUUCGGGUUGUAAAGCACUUUCAGCGAGGAGGAAAGGUUGAUGCCUAAUACGUAUCAACUGUGACGUUACUCGCAGAAGAAGCACCGGCUAACUCCGUGCCAGCCGCCGCGGUAACAC
rnacentral:rRNA from 1 species